UCCCCAGUCACCCUACCAAUGGUGUUUCUAUUCAGUCAUCUUUUCCCACUGAUGUGGCAGGUCUGUGACAUUUUACACAGCCUGCCUCCAGGCUGGUUAUGUGAGCCGCCCACGCUCACCCAGCUAAUAAACAGGAGGUGGACACUUGAAUCCCGGGCAGCUGGAUCGCAUGGUGAAGCCAAUAUGUCAGGAGACAACCAUCAUUUAAAAGGAAUGAGUAACCCUGGGAGGGGUGUUCCUCCAGAGUCCACAGACCCCAAGAUGUCAAAGCAUCACAAUAAGAAGGUGCAUUUAAUAGAAGAAGGAUGAGCACAUGAGCUGGCACCUAUGGUGGUCAUAUGCCUUCAGAGCAUUGGAUAACAAGUCUUCAAGAAAGGAGGAGAAAAUGGACUUCAGCGAAUGGUUUCAUGGGGCUCUGGGGCCAUCAUGUGGUGACAAGCAGGCGCAUAGAGCACGAGAAAGAAGAGAAAGAAGGGGAGAAAGGCAUCACAGGCUGUCAGCAAG